UCCCAACGUGGGAAUCUUGUAAAAACCCAAUUACAAAUUAGGGUUUUAACUCAUCUUCUAGGGUUUUAUCAAUCAAGCAAUGAGCUAUUGAGCCUUACCAUAACGGGGAAGAAAAAGCUCAAUUAGAGAAUAAUACUCGAAGCUUCUUCUUCUUCUGAGCAAAAGCAUCAAUUUUUGCUUAUGGGUAAGAAACUUGGAUUUUCUCAUUCUCAUUCUAGUUGUUUUUAAUCCAGCUAUUUCAAUUACAGUUCUUGCUUAGCAUUUCAAAUAUCCCACAUUGAUUCUGCUGAAAUUUAAUGUUUAGCUCAUUAAAUUUCACGUCUUGCCAUGAUAUUACUCAGAAUCCGCAAAAGGGUAUUUGAAUUAUCUAAGAUGAUUGGUCAAUCCAAUCAGAUUGUUCCCUUUUCUUCUGUGUUCAAUGAAAAAUGUGUUGUAAUGCAGUACCCAUCUUUCAGUUCAGUUAAAUUUCGAACCUUUUGCAGUUCUAGAGUGACACAUUUAGCAAAAGUCAGUCUCACUGAGUCAACUCAGUCACCUGGUUCUUUGAUUUCCAACCAAGUUUCUAGGCUGGCUAGAACCGAGGCUCAAGAUGUGUUAUUUGAUUACUUGCAUGGUACUAGGAGCUUAAGCUAUACGGAUGCAGAGCAUAUCAGCAAGAAUUCGCCAUAUUUUAUUCAAAGUUUGUUAUCCAAGAUUGAUGCCGAGAAGGAUGUGACUCGGUCUUUAGCCAGGUUCCUUAGAUACAAUCCAAUUAAUGAGUUUGAACCAUUUUUCGAGAGCUUGGGUUUGAGCCCAUUGGAGAUCUCCUUACUUCUUCCGCAGCACUUGAUGUAUUUGAGUGAUGAUGAUAUCUUGCUUGAGAACUAUCAUGUGUUGUGGGUAUAUGGGAUUCCUCGUAAUAAGAUGGGAAAGAUGUAUAAGGAAGCGAGAGAGAUAUUUGGGUAUGAUUAUGGAAUAUUAAGUUCAAAACUUCAGGCUUAUGAAAAUUUGGGUCUAAGUAGAAACACGGUUAUUAAGCUAGUCAGUUGUUGCCCAUCGCUUUUGAUUGGUGAUGUUGAUGAUCAAUUUAUUAAGGUUCUUGAAAAAUUAAAAGGGCUAGGAUUCAAGAAUGACUGGAUUGGGGGAUACUUAUCUGGUAAGAGCACAUACAAUUGGAAUCGAACAGUUGACACAAUGGAAUUUCUUGAGAAAGUGGGUUAUAGGGAGGAGCAGCUUUGUGAUCUAUUUAAAACAAAUCCAGGGUUAGUCUUUGAGGGUUCUGGGCGGAAGGUUUAUUUGUUGGUUGGCCAGUUACUCAAAUUGGGUUUGAAGAUGAAUGAAAUCUAUUGUUUGUUUAUGCAAAAGCCACAACUGUUGUCUGGAAAAUGUACAAAGAAUCUAUUGCAGGCUGUGGGAUUCUUGGUUGAGAUUGGAAUGAGAAUGGAAAACAUUGCAAAUAUAGUGUCUAAGCAUGCGGAACUUAUGGGUUCAUGUUCUCUUAAAGGACCUAAAACUGUUUGCAGCAGUUUAAAAGUCAACAGAGAUGGUUUAUGUCAAAUUAUAAAAGAUGACCCGUUGAAAUUGUUCCAUUUGGCUUCUAAAACAAAAAUUAAAAUUUAUGAACAGGCGGAACUCCAAAAUCCUAGUAAACAUCUGGAGAAAACAACAUUCUUGUUGAGAUUGGGGUAUGUAGAAAACUCAGAAGAGAUGACGAAAGCUUUGAAAAAGUUCCGAGGAAGAGGGGACCAACUACAGGAGAGAUUCGACUGCCUGGUAGAAGCCGGUUUGGACACAAAUAUUGUCAGACGCAUAAUUAAACAUGCGCCAAUGGUGCUUAACCAGAGCAAAGAAGUGAUUGAAAAGAAGAUGGAUUUCUUAAAGAACUGUUUAGGGUUUCCAAUCGACUCUGUAGUGGCAUUUCCAUCAUAUUUAUGUUAUGAUUUGGAGAGGAUUAAUCAUAGAUUUACAAUGUAUGUGUCGCUGAGGGAGAGAGGUGCAGCGAAGCCCAAAUUGUCCUUAAGCACUAUACUUGCAUGUUCAGAUGCAAAAUUUGUAAAAUAUUUUGUAGAUGUCCACCCUGAAGGUCCAGCCAUCUGGGAAAGUAUAAGGAAAUCGUCAAAUUCAAGCUAAGGUGAAGUCUAUACUUCAUUUAUAUACUUUUUUUCAUAAAUCAAAUUGAGUCCACUUGGACAAUAUAAUUCUGCAUUGCUAACCAUAUAUUGUUGCACAUCUAUGUAAACUCUGAUAUGAUUGUUGCACCUCAUCUUCUCAAAUACUUGCUACGAAAUCUUGCAUGGUUGGGUCGUUCAGCAUGCAGUUUGGACUUUGGACAAUUUAAAAACAAUAUCAAGUUCAUGUAUCUGGAUGGCAGUAACAGGCUAAUAGCAGCAUUCAACGGAAUAUUAGAAAUUUCUGUGUGAAAUAUUAGAAGUGGAGAUUGAGAGGGUUGCUACAACAGGCAGUAAAUAUAUUUGGGAGCACGCCGACGGAUUAUCGGAUCUUUAAACAGGAACUAUUUUUUGGAUGAAAUAUAGAUUUAAAAGAAUAAUUCGAUUACCUGCCUCAUAUUUCAGUUUUAUUACAAAUACUCAAAUGGAAUACCUUUUGGCUUAGCUCUGCUGAUACUUAACAAGAUCUUCAGCUCUGUAUUUCCCCUUAAUUCAAGUUUAUAAUGUUUGAUUUGGUUCAUUUUUAAUUUCA